rnacentral:rRNA from 1 species
UAGGGAAUAUUGGGCAAUGGAGGGAACUCUGACCCAGCCAUGCCGCGUGCAGGAUGAAGGCGUUAUGCGUUGUAAACUGCUUUUAUAUAGGAAGAAACAGACCUUGCGAGGUAAAUUGACGGUACUAUAUGAAUAAGCACCGGCUAACUCCGUGCCAGCAGCCGCGGUAAUACGGAGGGUGCAAGCGUUGUCCGGAUUUAUUGGGUUUAAAGGGUGCGUAGGCGGUUUAUUAAGUCAGUGGUGAAAGACGGUCGCUCAACGAUUGCAGUGCCAUUGAUACUGGUAGACUUGAGUGUGAUUGAGGUAGCUGGAAUGGAUAGUGUAGCGGUGAAAUGCAUAGAUAUUAUCCAGAACACCAAUUGCGAAGGCAGGUUACUAAGUCACAACUGACGCUGAUGCA